rnacentral:rRNA from 1 species
AUUGAACGCUGGCGGCAGGCCUAACACAUGCAAGUCGAACGAGUGGCGGACGGGUGAGUAAUGUCUGGGAAACUUCCUGAUGGAGGGGGUUAACUACUGGAAACGGUAGCUAAUACCGCAUACCAUCGGAUGUGCCCAGAUGGGAUUAGCUAGUAGGUGGGGUAACCGCUCACCUCGGCGACGAUCCCUACCUGGUCUGAGAGGAUGACCAGCCACACUGGAAAGGAGACACGGGCCAUACGCCUACGGGAGGCAGCAGUGGGGAAUAUUGGACAAUGGGCGCAAGCCUGAUGCAGCCAUGCCGCGUGUAUGAAGAAGGCCUUCGGGUUGUAAAGUACUUUCAGCGGGGAGGCGUUACCCGCAGAAGAAGCAACGGCUAAAUACGAGCCAGCCGCCGCGGUAAUAC